UACGUAGGGUGCAAGCGUUGUCCGGAAUUAUUGGGCGUAAAGAGCUUGUAGGCGGUUUGUCGCGUCUGCUGUGAAAUUUCGGGGCUCAACCCCGAACUUGCAGUGGGUACGGGCAGACUAGAGUGUGGUAGGGGAGACUGGAAUUCCUGGUGUAGCGGUGAAAUGCGCAGAUAUCAGGAGGAACACCGAUGGCGAAGGCAGGUCUCUGGGACGACUGACGCUGAGAGCGACGAAGCGUGGGGAGCAAACAGG
rnacentral:rRNA from 1 species